CGCAGCCAGCUGCGAGAUUUGGUGUGAAUUGCAGGACACAUUGAGCACUGAUUUUUCGAACGCACAUUGCGGCCUCGGGUCCUGCCCGGGGCCUCGCCUGUCUGAGGGUCGGAUAAGACUUGCAAAGGAAAGUUCGCUUUCCAAUUGGCCGCGUCGGAGCACCUCGGUGCUUCGUCGGCUCAAGUGWAGUUAGGAUCCUCCCCGGUCGAGAGAGCACGAGCCCUUGAGCAUGCUCGUCGACAGGAGAAGACGGAAUACGUUUCUCCGAGAGGACGAGACGGUUCGUUGCCGAGAAGACCGUUAAAAGGGGAUGAGAACCUACACGUUCUUUGAAAAACGAGCGUAUCGCAAAUUCUAACYUUGACGACCUCAGAUCAGACSARA
rnacentral:rRNA from 1 species